rnacentral:ncRNA from 1 species
AAUUGUGUGUAGGAGAGGUUUUAUUAAAUCAGUGGAAACAAGGAAACACUCGAUUUAUUAGAACCAAUUU